rnacentral:rRNA from 1 species
AGCAGCCGCGGUAAUUCCAGCUCCAAUAGCGUAUAUUAAAGUUGUUGCAGUUAAAAAGCUCGUAGUUGAAUUUCGGGAUCAGUACGCUGGUCGUGCCUUUGGUAUGUACUGGUGUCACUGAUUCCUCCCUUCUGAAGAACCGUUAUGCCAUUUAUUUGGUGUGGCGGGGAAUCAGGACUGUUACUUUGAAAAAUUAGAGUGUUUAAAGCAGGCUCGCGCUUGAAUACAUUAGCAUGGAAUAAUGAAAUAGGACGUUUGAUCUUAUUUUGUUGGUUUCUAGGAUCGACGUAAUGAUUAAUAGGGAUAGUUGGGGGCAUUAGUAUUCAAUUGUCAGAGGUGAAAUUCUUGGAUUUAUUGAAGACUAACUACUGCGAAAGCAUUUGCCAAGGAUGUCUUCAUUAAUCAAGAACGAAAGUUAGGGGAUCGAAGACGAUCAGAUACCGUCGUAGU